rnacentral:tRNA from 1 species
GCGCCCGUAGCUCAACUGGACAGAGCACCUGACUACGGAUCAGGAGGUUAGGAGUUCGAAUCUUCUCGGGCGCACCA